UCCUGGCUCAGGUAUGAACGCUAGCGGCAGGCUUAAUACAUGCAAGUCUGGGGCAGCAGGUUUGUAGCAAUACAGAUGCUGGCGACCGGCAAACGGGUGCGGAACACGUACAGAACCUUCCUUUGAGCGGGGAAUAGCCCAGAGAAAUUUGGAUUAAGUACCCCCAUAGUAUAAUGAAGUGGCAUCACUUUAUUAUUAAAGAUUUAUCACUUGAAGAUGGCUGUGCGGCUGAUUAGGUAGUUGGCGGGUAACGGCCCACCAAGCCUGCGAUCAGUAACUGGUGUGAGAGCAGACCAGUCACACGGGCACUGAGACACGGGCCCGACUCCUACGGGAGGCAGCAGUAAGGAAUAUUGGUCAAUGGACGAAAGUCUGAACCAGCCAUGCCGCGUGGAGGAUGAAGGUCCUCUGGAUUGUAAACUUCUUUUAUAUGGGACGAAAAAAGGCCUUUCUAGGUCGUCUGACGGUACCAUAUGAAUAAGCACCGGCUAACUCCGUG
rnacentral:rRNA from 1 species